AACGAACGCUGGCGGCAUGCCUAACACAUGCAAGUCGAACGAGACCUUCGGGUCUAGUUGCGCACGGGUGCGUAACGCGUGGGAACCUGCCCUUAGGUUCGGAAUAACUCCCCGAAAGGGGUGCUAAUACCGGAUAAUGUCUUCGGACCAAAGAUUUAUCGCCUUUGGAUGGGCCCGCGUUGGAUUAGCUAGUUGGUAGGGUAAAAGCCUACCAAGGCGACGAUCCAUAGCUGGUCUGAGAGGAUGAUCAGCCACACUGGGACUGAGACACGGCCCAGACUCCUACGGGAGGCAGCAGUGGGGAAUAUUGGACAAUGGGCGAAAGCCUGAUCCAGCAAUGCCGCGGGAGUGAUGAAGGCCUUAGGGUUGUAAAGCUCUUUUACCCGGGAUGAUAAUGACAGUACCGGGAGAAUAAGCUCCGGCUAACUCCGUG
rnacentral:rRNA from 1 species